rnacentral:lncRNA from 1 species
AUGGAUAUGAAUGGAAGAAUUAUAAUACAUUGAGUAUUGGGAAUUGAGAGUGAUUCAUCAGAAGGAGUCUGUAGAGUCUGGAAUUCUGCGAAGAAGUGUAUUGAGAAGGAUAGUUAGUGGUGAAAGAUUUAAGUGUUUGGAUUAUGGAAUGAUUAUGUACUGUCUUUUAGGAUAGUGCAGGGUUACACGUUGUUAUUAUCAGUGAUGAUGGAGUACUAUUAGGAAGUGAAAAAUAUUGUGGUAUUCCUUGGUAUUUUUAGUGGUUCAAAAUAUGGUUAAUUAAAUGAUCCUAACAAGUACAACUCAUGUGCUCAGUCUUUCUC